ACUCCUACGGGAGGCAGCAGUGGGGAAUAUUGCACAAUGGGCGAAAGCCUGAUGCAGCAACGCCGCGUGAGUGAUGAAGGCCUUCGGGUCGUAAAGCUCUUUGAUCAGGGAUGAUAAUGACAGUACCUGAAAAACAAGCCACGGCUAACUACGUGCCAGCAGCCGCGGUAAUAC
rnacentral:rRNA from 1 species